AAGGCAGAGCAUACUGACUAUCCUCCAGGGCCUUUGUUGUCCAGUCCUCUCAUUACACAGAUGGAUCAUUGGCUCAUCCAACUGAGAUUUAAGCCUCUUGCUCUUUCAGCCAUUUGGUGACUCCAUGGGAUCCAGCCUGAAAUAAAACUCCCAAGAAUUUCUGCACUUGGGGCCAAGGAAAGAAAAUAAUUUUUUCCCUUAGAAGAAUUCCUUCGUUUAGAAUGGCCAUGGAUAUGAACCUACAGAAGAAGAUAGUGAAUAGCCCCUGGCUUCUUUCCUGGCACAUUUAGUGGAGCGAUAAAAGCCUAUUUGUGAGAG